rnacentral:rRNA from 1 species
UCCGUAGGUGAACCUGCGGAAGGAUCAUUACAUCAAUUGACACAACUCAACGAAGCCCUUAGUUGAAGUUUGGCGCGUCCGCGUGCUUCACUUCAACAAAAACAAAACUAAUUCAAUUAAAGGAACCUAACUAAGAACAACCACUGAAACCAAAUUCUCAACGAUGGAUGUCUUGGUUCCCACAACGAUGAAGAACGCAGCGAAGUGCGAUAAGCAGUGCGAAUUGCAGAACCGUGAGUCAUCAGAUUUUUGAACGCAACUGGCGCCGUACGGCCUUUGGCUGUCGGCACGCCUGGUCCAGUGUUUUGUUCCCUCAUGAUCAAAAUCAUAAUGCUUGAGAUGCCCUUCUCUUGCUAAGUAUGAAAGCACUCUGCGAUCUGCGCGAGGCCUUUUGGUCUCACUCAAUGCAGCAGUCACAUUGCUAACAGUGUGAACUCAUUGAGAGUGGACGCAGUGCGGCAAUAGCUGCAUGUGCUUAGUCACAUCAACUUAGGAAUCGCAUCUGGGCUCAGGUGGGACCACCCGCUGAACUUAAGCAUAUCAAUAAGCGGAG